CCUACGGGUGGCAGCAGUAGGGAAUCUUGGACAAUGGGCGCAAGCCUGAUCCAGCCAUGCCGCGUGAGUGAUGAAGGUCCUCGGACUGUAAAACUCUUUUCUGAGGGAAGAAAUGACGGUUGAGGAAAUGCUUCCGUUUUGACGGUACCUCAGGAAUAAGCAACGGCUAACUCCGUGCCAGCAGCCGCGGUAAUACGGAGGUUGCAAGCGUUGUUCGGAAUGACUGGGCGUAAAGGGAGCGCAGGCGGUUUGAUAAGUCUGGAGUGAAAGCCCGGGGCUCAACCCCGGCGGGUCUUUGGAUACUGUCAAGCUAGAGUACGGAAGAGGAGAGUGGAAUUCCAGGUGUAGCGGUGAAAUGCGUAGAUAUCUGGAGGAACACCGGUGGCGAAAGCGGCUCUCUGGUCCGAUACUGACGCUCAUGCUCGAAAGCGUGGGGAGCAAACGGGAUUAGAUACCCUUGUAGUCG
rnacentral:rRNA from 1 species